CACAGAUAAAAGGUCAAGAAAAACCAGGAAGAGUGAGAGAGGGCGGGAAGGAUCUAUGAACCAUAGAGAAAGAGACAAUCUACAUUGGCUGGAUUUACCGUGUACGAGCUGGACUGUUUUGGACUUACCUGUUGGCGUUUAGACCUGGACCUACCGAGAACCAGAUUUGUGUACCGAACCCUGCUAUCCUUGACCUUACCUGCGGCCUGGGUGGACCAGGACAGCGAAACAAACACACAGUUUUCCCGGUGUUUGCCAUUCUGCCUGCCCUGAGCCUGCCUGCCGUCCUGUACCUUUGCCCCACCUAUCUGGAUUACUGACCUCUGCCUACCCUGAGCCUGCCUGCCGUCCUGUACCUUUGCC
rnacentral:lncRNA from 1 species